rnacentral:rRNA from 1 species
ACUCCUGCGGGAGGCAGCAGUGGGGAAUUUUGGACAAUGGGCGAAAGCCUGAUCCAGCCAUGCCGCGUGCAGGAUGAAGGCCUUCGGGUUGUAAACUGCUUUUGUACGGAACGAAACGGCCUUUUCUAAUAAAGAGGGCUAAUGACGGUACCGUAAGAAUAAGCACCGGCUAACUACGUGCCAGCAGCCGCGGUAAUACGUAGGGUGCAAGCGUUAAUCGGAAUCACUGGGCGUAAAGCGUGCGCAGGCGGUUAUGUAAGACAGUUGUGAAAUCCCCGGGCUCAACCUGGGAACUGCAUCUGUGACUGCAUAGCUAGAGUACGGUAGAGGGGGAUGGAAUUCCGCGUGUAGCAGUGAAAUGCGUAGAUAUGCGGAGGAACACCGAUGGCGAAGGCAAUCCCCUGGACCUGUACUGACGCUCAUGCACGAAAGCGUGGGGAGCAAACAGGAUUAGAUACCCCAGUAGUCCCAUGAU